CCGCGUGAGUGAUGAAGGUUUUCGGAUCGUAAAGCUCUGUUGUUAGGGAAGAACAAGUGCCGUUCAAAUAGGGCGGCACCUUGACGGUACCUAACCAGAAAGCCACGGCUAACUACGUGCCAGCAGCCGCGGUAAUACGUAGGUGGCAAGCGUUGUCCGGAAUUAUUGGGCGUAAAGGGCUCGCAGGCGGUUUCUUAAGUCUGAUGUGAAAGCCCCCGGCUCAACCGGGGAGGGUCAUUGGAAACUGGGGAACUUGAGUGCAGAAGAGGAGAGUGGAAUUCCACGUGUAGCGGUGAAAUGCGUAGAGAUGUGGAGGAACACCAGUGGCGAAGGCGACUCUCUGGUCUGUAACUGACGCUGAGGAGCGAAAGCGUGGGGAGCGAACAGGAUUAGAUACCCUGGUAGUCCACGCCGUAAACGAUGAGUGCUAAGUGUUAGGGGGUUUCCGCCCCUUAGUGCUGCAGCUAACGC
rnacentral:rRNA from 1 species